GACGAACGCUGGCGGCGUGCUUAACACAUGCAAGUCGAACGGAAACGCCCGGCUUUUGUUGGCGCCUGGAGUGGCGAAGGGUUGAGUAACACGUGAGUAACCUGCCCUUGACUUGGGGAUAACUUCUGGUAACUGGGGCUAAUACCGGAUAGGAGCUCCUGCUGCAUGGGGUGGGUUGGAAAGUGUCGGCGGUUGGGGAUGGACUCGCGGCUUAUCAGCUUGUGGGUGGGGUAGUGGCUUACCAAGGCUUUGACGGGUAGCCGACCUGAGAGGGGGACCGGCCACAUUGGGCCUGGGAUACGGCACAGACUCCUCCGGGAGGCAGGGGUGGGGAAUAGUGCACAAUGGGCGGAGGCCAGGCGCAGCAACGCCGCGUGCGGGAUGACGGGAAUCGGGUUGUAAUCCACUGUCGCCUGUGCCGAAGAGUGAGUGACGGUAAUGGGUAAAGAAGCACCGGCUAACUACGUG
rnacentral:rRNA from 1 species